CCUACGGGAGGCAGCAGUGAGGAAUAUUGGUCAAUGGACGGAAGUCUGAACCAGCCAUGCCGCGUGCGGGAAGACGGCUCUAUGAGUUGUAAACUGCUUUUGUACGAGAGUAAACCUCGGUACGUGUAUUCAGCUUCACGUACUGUACGAAUAAAGAUCCGCUAACUCCGUGCCAGCAGCCGGCGUUAUCCGGAGGUACCAAGCGUUAUCCGGAUUUAUUGGGUUGAAAGGGUGCGUAGGCGGAUUGGUAAGUUAGGGGUGAAAUGUGCGGGCCGAACUCUGGAACUGCUGUUGAUACUGUAGAGCUGGAGUGUAGGUGAGGUAGGCGGAAUGCAUGGUGUAGCGGUGAAAUGCGUAGAGAUCAUGCAGAACACCGAUUGCGAAGGCAGCUUACUGGACUGCAACUGACGUUGAGGCACGAAAGCGUGGGGAGCAAACAGGAUUAGAUACCCUAGUAGUC
rnacentral:rRNA from 1 species